AUUAACCUCAGAUGAUCCUACUGCUCAAGUCGGGGCGUCAAAGUUGAUCAAGAUAGACGACUCGUUCUAUACCAGCUGUCCGGACGGCAUGGUACUGGAGUGUAUACUCAUUGGAUUCGCCCCUUUUUGCAAGUGCGUGCCUAAAAAGGGUGCCGGCCUCACCGAUGGAUCCAUGCUUCCGAGCGACGGCAGAGGUUCGUGGCCGUGUUUGAAUGAAGGGAAAAUCUAACUAGCCGCGCCGUAUUUCAUGCUUACCGUGCGGCGGCUUGUCCUCAUGCGCGUAUCGCACGCACGACCAGUGAGCCAGCGCAACCGCACACUCCUCAACGCACUGUUGCUAUAGUACACCGCUACUUUCCACGGAAAACGUUCGUACUACCACAGAAUGUGUGAUCACUGUGCCCCAGAAAACAUCAGUGUUUGGCAAAGUACGCAUCGGCAUGGCUCUUUACAGUCAUCAUGUUUUUGCGGUAAGCAUGUUUAAUCCUUGCGACAGUGCUUUUUUCCAACAAAUCCACGUUGUUCUAUACAUCUCUAAAAUAUAAUGUUGACUAGUAAAUAAAUUCCAAUCUAAAAUAUACAACUAAGCACGAAACUAAGCUUCAAAAAUAGACAACUAAGUACUUGUAAUUUGGGCAACUAAAACAUAUUUAAUGACAACUAAGUAAUUUAAAUAUGACAACUAAAUAUGGUUAAAAUCUGGCAGCUAAGUCCGCAACCUAAAAUAUUCAUAUUGAAUACCAAGUACUUGUAAUCUGAUAAGUAUUUUAUAAUCUAGCAAAACAAGUACUAUUUGGUGGCUGCGCGUAAGCACCCCUGCAUCACAUGACGAGAUUUAUGAGACAACACGAUAAUUAGGUAGAAUUAAAAUAACAAGCUACUUAUUUUAAUCUGGAAACUAAGUAUUUUUCUAGCAUGGCAACUAAAAACUUUUUAAUCUGGAAACUAGGUAUUUUUGGCAACUAAGAACUCUUUAAUCUGAAAACAAGCUACUUUCUACAUGGCAAUUAAGAACUUUUUAAUCUGGAAAGUAGGUUUCUUUCUACCAUGGCAACUGAGAGCUUUUUAAUCUGAAACUUAGGUUUCUUUUCUACCAUGGCAACUGAGAACUUUUUAAUCUGAAACUUAGGUUUCUUUUCUACCAUGGCAACUAAGAACCUUUUUAAGCUGGAAACUACGUAUUUUUUCUAGCAUGGCAACUAAGACUUUUUAUCUAGAAACUACGUGCUUUUUCUAGCUUGGCGACUACGAACCUUUUAAGCUGGAAAUUAAGCGUUCUUCUAGCAUGGUAACUAAGUACUUCUAAGCAUUUUUUUUAGCAUGAUAACUAAGAAUGGGUAGUUUGGAGACUAAGCAUUUGCACGGUAAGUAAACACCUCUAAUCUGGAAACUAGGCACAUUUUAGCAUGUCAACUAAGCUCUUCUUGUAAUCUAGAAACUGAGCAAUUUUUAGCUUGGCAAUUAAUCACUUUUUCUUCCUUCAUUUUUUCACACUGACAGUGGUUAUAAGAUGCGUUGUCUAAUGAGAAAUUUGAUGUUUCUUUGGACAAAAGAAGCAGGUGCGAACGGUGAAAACGACAUGGCCAGUCUAGGAUAGAAUAAACGAGGAGCCAUGCAUGCAUGCGCUGUCAGCCUAGCAAGACGCGUACCAUACUUUUUCUCUGUUUGCAUGUGAGUAGCAUUUGGCUACCGGGCCGCCGCACGAGAACGCAAACAUGCGGCGCGUCCUUGAAUGAAACGCAUGCCAUUGUUGUUCAAAAAUACUCUUGAUUUUUCAACUCCCGCUGUUUUAAAUAUAAGUAUUUUUUUAAAUAUUUAUUCUGUAUCUAAAUAAUUGUAGUUGGAGAGGACUAGUUUUUUCCAACUAUAAUUCUCUAGGUACAGAGGGAGUAUUACGCUAAAGACUAUUUUUUCUAGUAUAAUUCUUCCCAACUACUAUUUUUUAGGUACAUAAAGGAUACAUAGAAAGCAAAAUAAACGAAUUUACACUCUAAAAUAUAUUUACAUAUGUCCAUAUAUGAUAUGUAAUGGAACCUUUUAAAAAACUUAUAUUUAGAAACGAAUGGAGUAACUAAUAUGCUACGUGGGUAGACUAACCGUGUGCAUGAUUAACCUCAGGUGAUCCUGCUGAUCAAGUCGGGGCGUCAAAGUUGAUCAACAUAGAGGACUCAUUCUAUACCCCCUGUCCGGACGGCAUGGUACAGAAGUGUAUAUUCGUUGGAACCACCCCUUUUUGCGGGUGCGUGCCUAAAAAGGGUGCCGGCCUCACUGAUGGAUCCAUGUCGUCGACGGCGAACAAGCCGGGGAACAAGGACUAGGACGAUGUCGACGUGGGCGCCGGUAACUAGCUAGCAUUUGCGCCCGUACGUGUGCCAUAUACCAUACGUCAAGCAAUGGUAAUAAGGUCCAGCACAUAUGGUAGCAUGGACACCCUUCCCGUCUUAUUGUACUACUAGCUUGUACACAUGUGCGUUUAUAUACAUGUUGUAUUUUUUAGCUCCUGUGUAUGCAUGCUUUUAUACACACAGAUGUACGGAGUAGGAUAUAACCUCCGUUUUAUAUUACUUAUAAUGGAAUAAUGGUUAAUUACUACGCACGGCCACCCUUUUUUAGCCAGUCACUCCAUUGAUUUCAUUCCAUGUCAUCGUCUGCCGACGGAACAACCUCCGUUGGCAUAGUUUGUUUGCUAAAGAAAAAUGCAGAACAAAUACAGCAUGCCAACGUCCCCAAAGUUCGCUCUCAACGAUGCAGAACAUACGAGCCGUUCCAUGUGAAAUUUCUACGGUAUUUAUCCUUCCAACUUAUGAAACAGACGUUGCAUAUCUUGGCAGCAUAAACUCGAACACAAACACAAAACCAUAAGCCACCCACCGCGCACACACCCUGCAGCUACAGAACGACAGCAAGAGUGAAGUCAACUGAACUGGAAACUAUAUAUUUUUUCACCUCACCAAUGAGAGUAAAAUCACUUCAACUGUUAACAGUCCAGUACAUCGGCAAGGCACGCACGAUACAACAACAUGAAUGAUAUCGCCCAGAUUUCUGGCAAUAAUUCCCCUACCAAGAUCACACAAACCUGAUACAUGAAGAACGAACCACGAUUUCCAAAAAUUAGACAGCACCUGCCAGCCACGUCGCCAGCCCCAUCGUCGUUUCUUCUAGGGAAGCAGGGCAGCUCAAGGCAGAUUACAAACAUCAUCAGACUACCAGAGACAGAGAGAGAGUCACUGGCUGGGACUCUGUCGGAAAACUGUACACUGACCAGAGGCAAGAAUCAACGGGAGGCGAAUCGGCGAAUGGCAUUCCCCCCAGCCUCUGUCUCAAGUCUAAAAAAACCGAAGCUAACAGUUGGUCUAACGCUAGUUUAUCAAAUCAAUGGAGAGGCGGCCGCCCAUGCUCGCUGAAGCUGCCUCUUGACCAGUGAGACGGGGAGAGCUUCCUGAUUUGCAGAGGGGCUGAUCUACUCUGGGGUGCUCGUUUUUGUACACGGGCGCCUGUCAACGCUACCGAGUAAGGGUCACCUUCGCGCUCCUGCCUCGCUUCUAUUCGGCCAGAGCUGUACUCCAUGUUUAUGAACGGUGAGGGAUUCCGGUAGUCUAGGCACCCGGAAGCCCCGCUGUUCCACCAGCUACCGCUACCACUGUCAAAGACAAAGCCGCCCUGGAGGUCGUCGUCCGGGUCACAUGAUGAUUCCCUGUGGCUGUAGGAAUCGCCGACGGCCUCCUCCGCGUCAUUGUAAAUCAGCUUCAGUGCCUGGACUACUUCACCCAUGAAUGGCCUCUGUGAUGGAUCACUGUGAACGCACACCGAAGCGAUGGAUGCCACUUUGGCUACGUUGUCGAAAUUGUAGUUGCCAUUCAUAGAAGGGUCGAUCAACCUCUCCAAACCCUCCUUAUUGCCUAGAAGAGGACGAGCCCAAGUAACAAGGUUCUCAGGAUCCAUGUUGUCGGACAUGCCUACGGGCUUCCUUCCUGAUAAAAGCUCCAGCAACACAACCCCAUAACUGUAGACAUCGCUCUUGACAAGAAGAUGCCCUGUCAUGGCAUACUCUGGAGCAACAUACCUGCAUGAUCAAUAGAGAAAUUUUACCUUUUGAAAGCCAAGGAUAAUUAGAAUAUAAUUAAGACAAGCUACUCUUGAGCAAAUUUAUGUACCGAAAUUCAUAUAGCUUUAGAGAAGUGUAAUUCGUGAACAAUCCUACCAAACAUUAUUUAUGGAAGGCAGUAUUAAUCACAAAGAGACAAAUCAUUCGAUCACAGCGUCACAAAAUACCCAAAUAAAGUGCUAUAUAAUCAUUUGUUUUUAUUAAUAAUGUGUAUUGACGAUAUUAUAGGGGCUGGACACAAGCGAAGUUUCUUACCCGAAAGUCCCCAUUACCCUCGUGGAAAUGGGAUUGAUUCCAUUGGUUGCUUCCCUUGCUAAACCAAAAUCAGUAACCUUUGGAGUGAAAUCUUCCUCCAGCAAUAUAUUGCUACCUUUGAAGUCCCGGUGUAUAACAUGAGGGUUUGAAUCUUCAUGUAGGUACGCCAAGCCUCUAGCAGCACCCAAAGCAAUUUUCAUCCUGACAUCCCAGUUCAGCAUGCCCUUAUCCUUAUCAGCACCUAGGCAUACAAAAGAUCAGAUUAACACAAAGAGUCAGCUAAGUCCACACACUCCUAAUCCUGGCUUACAUGUGACAGCGAUAAUUAUGAAGCCAAUUUUGUUUUCUAAGGCAGUGCACUGCUUUCUUUGAGGCAUAUCACUGGAGAAGUUCAGGUGCUAGAUUAGUAACGCUGGUUGAUCUUGUUUCAUCCAUGUAAUUCUCUUCAGCCAUAUCACUAGUGAGAUGCCUUUUGGUAUUCCAUGGAGCCCGGAUUUUCAUAAAGCAAAAAUGGUAUAUUUCAAAGUUUUAAUAAAAUGAAAAUUUUCUACGAGUACAUAUGGAUGUUCUCUGUGUACCUGUAAAAUUUCAUUAAAUAACCCGAUAUAUUGUACACUGCCCAAAAAAGACAAAAAUCCGGAUUAAAAACUAAAAAAUACAAGCCCAUUUUGUUCAUGUAUUUGUCUUUUUUGUAUACAUCACAAACAAAUAUGUAUAUUGAUAAAAAAUAGUAGAGAUACACUCCACAUCUAUAUAUACACUGACAAAAAAACAAACAGAUUUUUUUGGGCUAUAAAAGUUAUAAUAUUUUUUAACUUCUCUUCAUCGUCCUCCCUGGAACCCGUCCUCCAAAGCGAUUUUCUGAACUUUGAAGUACUAUAACUAGAAUAGCAGCUGGUCCUACCAAUCUAUGCUUAGGGAAAAGAAAAUUUGGACCAGCCUCGUCUAGUCAUUCUAUUACAAGAAACUUGAACACUUGGUUAAAUAUUUCCAUUUUGGCUGCUAUGCCUUAAUAUGUACGAAUUUCAUGUCAUUACUUCAAUAGUUAAGACUUGCCAAACAUAGCAUGUGUUACUAAUAUUUAGAACAUACCAUGGAGAUGGGAUUCCACACUUCCAUUUCGUAUAAGCUCGUAAACAAGACACCUUUUUGCACGUUCGGUGCAAAUGCCAAUCAAUUUGACAAGAUUACGAUGGUGCAAUCGACUGAGCAUUUCCACCUCCGCAAUGAACUCGCGGUCACCACUCCUGUCCUCUCUUGUCAGCAUUUUAACAGCAAUCUCGUUUCCAUCAUCCAUGGUCCCAUGAUAAACACGUCCAAACCCACCUUGACCCAAAACUCUUCUUGAACUAAAACCAUCAGUGGCCUUUUCAAGCUGUGCAAGCGAAAAUGUCUUUACCGAUGCUGCACAUGUGGCCACUGUUGAGAGCAUUGACGCUGAUACAGAGCUCACCAUGCUAGUUGACUGAGAUCUGCCACCUGUGUACCACAAAUUAAGUUGUUAGCAUAACUGCCAUUACUAGCAAUUUUUUGUUGUUAUAUAAACGGGGGGUUAUGGUUUUCAAAAGUUCAUGUCGCAUGCAUACAAAGUGACAUUCUUCUUUCGCAAUAGGGGGUAACUAACAAAUAUUAAAAUGGUUAUUUCCAGGCAGCAUUACAUAAGCACAUAGUAUAUGAGAACUCUAGACAAAUUUUUUUUUUUACUAAUUUUGGAUUUAGGCAAAUUUAUAGACAGAACUGCCCAAUUGUUCUGCCUCACUGAUAAGUGCAACUCUGAUUACCAAUAUCUAUGUGGUAAUAGAAAGGGGAAAUAUUAUCCACCGGCAGUGGCGUAGCUGGGGGGGGGGGGGUCCAUGGACCACCCUGAAAUUUAUCUACAGCCUAUAUAUUAUAGCAAAAAAUGAGUAAAAUUUAAUGUGGGUAAUUAAAUACAAAUGGAAGUUUUACUAUUGGACCACCCUGGAUUAUUGAGCUGGCUACGCUACUGUCCACCGGUACAUAAUAUAAAGAUCUCUAUUGCCCACAUGAAGAUGAUCUUAACGUGGUUAAAGGGAGAAGUUCCCUCCCUUAAGGCCUAGUUCGGUUAAUCCUUUCCUGCGGGGAUUGGAGGGGAUUUGCAGGGAUUUUGGCUUGUAGGGGAUUUAAUCCCCCUCAAUCCCCUUCAAAUCCACCUCAACUGAACAAGCCCUAAAUGUACGUUGUCAUGUAGAAACGAGGAACCCUGCAGAGGUUGUGCCUCGAACGCGGGUGGGGUGAGCUCACGGGUGUAUGUGCCUAACCAACCGGACACUACUUGGUUCUCAAGAUGAUCGUAACAGAUUCUUGUAUAAAGCCAUCAAAUGUCCGUGUGUUGCUACAGUGGUAAAAAAACUUAUACUGUAUAUUUAGGGAUGCCUUUAAUUUUACCAUCUUGUGCCAUAUCAAGUCAUUCAUAUCCGCCCCUAACAAGUUGUGCCAAAUCCAACAUGUAAUGUAACCCAAAGGUGAACAGACCGUCACCACAAUUGGCGGCAUAUUUAUGGGAGUAUAGAUACUUUACAUAGUAUCAUGUUUUUUAUGCUUUUAAGUUUUAACUAGCCUAUUUUUGUAAGAAAAAUGAUCAAGGUUGUAUCCAGAAGACCAUCUAAAACAAAAGAAUCAGGAACAAUGCUUUCUUCACUCUUUGGUAACGGGUGUACGUAGGUAAAUUUGAUCUAUCAGGGAAAUAAUUGAAAUAUCAUUUGUGCACAGCCAGCAAGAACCAUCUAUUAAAGGAUUCUAACAUUGCCCAUCAGGUUUUAAAAUAUUUGUACAAUGGUAAAAGUAGUAAUAACAGUAAUAAAUGGCAUACUUAACGACAACAAAAGCUGUCGAUUUUACCAUGUCUUCUUUUAACUGACGGGGUGAUCACAGGGUUCCCAGCCUCAUGAAAACGCUUAAGUUUCUUCCAUUUGACUAUUAAGAUAAUGAGCCCAAUGCAUGCCACAAUUAGUACCAGAGAGGACCCUGCAACUACCACGAUGAUCCAGCUAUCUAAUUUCUUAUUUUGAUGGUGCACAUCUGCGGUUAUAGGAUAUUCUCCAUUUCCUGGAGGACCUGACGUAAGAGAUGACAUAGCUGGUGGUGCAGGUCCCAGCCCUGCAGUGAUAACAUUGCACAUAUAAAUCAUAAAUUCAAGUAACUCACCUAAGAAGCAAAUACUCCACAUAAAUGUUUCUUACCUGGAUAGGUAAUGUUUAUAACCUCGUAAGCUCCAAAAACAGAUGAAUUAAUCUGAACCUUUUUAUUCCAGAACCUAUCCGAUAUUAGGGAUGCAGUAUAGCUAUCAAAAUGCUCUCUUAGUGGCACCAAAUAAAAGGUGACUCUUGUCUUCUGGUCAUCUUCGAUACUUGGAAUAGCAGCCAUAAUCUUCACUUGGCUCUGUUUAAGAAAUGUGCCAGCUGCAACUUCAACUUCCAAUUCUGCCGUGUGCAUGAAUAGUAAAUAUGGAGCUACAGCAAUGUCAACAAUAACACUAAGGGGCAGCACACAGCCACAGGGGGAACCAAUCGGUGUUGAACUCAUGGGCUCGGGGCAAACAGUGCUAGAGCAACCUGCUGAAGGUACAAAAGAAAACUAUUCAACACAAAAAUUUACAACAAAGCAAACAAGCUUAUACUUAGAUCAACAAUUAGUCUGCAUGUCAACAGAAGCAGUACUAAGAAGAAUAGUCCACAGAGGGAUGGAUAAUAUCGGGGAUUAGGUGAAGUAACUCAAGGAUGCAGUAUGAAAUUGUAAACAUAAAUGGCAAACCUUCAGGUGGGAGAGAUAGGGAUGGCGGAGGGGCAUGGUGUGGUCGUCUGUGGUGUUUGUGUGAAUGGACAGCGAUACCUGUAAGAAUAGCAGAUAUUAAAUAACAAAUAGUUUAUUGAAAACUUUAAGCAUGAACUUUUAGCACCGACGUUGUCACGGUUACAUACCAGGAGAUCUUGGAGACAGUACCCCAGGAGAAAAUGCCGGGGAAAUUCGAGGUCCAAACACUCUUGUUUCAGGGGGAUUUGACGGAUGUGGCGCUGGGCUAGGCUGUAUGUUUGCUGGAGAACGGAAGGUAUUAAGUUCACAUUUGACAGAAACGAAUUGCAAAAUCUGAUAAGAGAAAAACCUCUACCUACCAUAUGGCUAGCAUCGUGUUCAGAUUAACAUAUACAGUUUCAAAUGGUUACUUCAAGAAAGCUCAGGCGCACUGUACAAUCAUACAUUUCCAUUUGCGGCCUAUAUAGCCAAUGCCCGUUGGCAGUUUCUGUUUCUAAAAUAAGAGUGUAUGAACUGGAAAGAUAAUAAACCAUUUUCUAGAAGUUUUGUUCUGCGUCUGUAAAUGUUUGAAUUCUGCAUAUAUUCUCAAUUUAUCAUACUUGUGUUUCAAAAUUUUACAUCACAGUGACACUUUUUAUUCCUCGUACAUGGAAACAAAACAUGAAAUGUUUUCUCAGCGCAUGCUGCCGUGCCAUGCAUUUUUUGGAGUUUGGUGAAAGUUAGCAUUUCACUCAAGUUCUAGCGGUUGGUUAGGAGGCACUGGCGUGGGUGAGUUGUGUGUGUAUGGUGGUGUCGCUGGUGUGUGUUCACGUGUGCGUCAUCCUUGUAAUCGCCAAAAAAAUGGCCUCAUGGUCAAGCUAAGAGCACGAGAGACACCAAGUGCAUUAACUACUCCAGAAAGUAACGGCGUUAGUAAUGAACUCUGAGAAUGGCUGCCAAAUUUGUACCCGAACGUGUCCGAUACGUUUUGGCAGAUAUCAGAACGUAUCCAACUAUUCAGGCGUAUCUAACCCCUGAUACGCUAGUUUCCUGCCGUAUCCAUGCAACUUAGCUGCCAAUCAAGAGGGGCCAUCAUACUACACUCAGGUUUUGUCGAUAGUGUCACCGGGGUGGAAGAAUACAACUAUAAAAGGUGGUACCACAGAUUUAGUUAAGAGAAGACCGUCAAGCAUUACUUGCAAGCAAAGCAAGUGUUGGCUGAGUGUUGAGAGACGAUACUACAGGUCGGAUUUGAACUACUUAUAGGCGCGCCUUUCUACCUUAAGGUUUUGUGCCAUGGUCUCUUGGCUGGUUGUGUCACACAGAUGGGCACGCCCCUGUUUUACGCUCACUACAAACAAACGCAAAUUAGACUCUAACAUGCAUUUCCAAUGUUAAUGGAGCACUCCAACAGCAGUGGGAGCACAAACUGUCCACCAGUCCCAUCCCAUCCAUGCCUCCUUGGCACAAGGAACAAGCAGUGGCAGCCAUUGUCACCUGUUACUUUCAGGCAUGAGAAAACAAUGGCAGGCUAAAACCACCUUCCCUCUCACAGAAAAAUAAUGGCAGGCUAAAACACACAGCUCCAGACUCAUGUACCCAGCUCGCCCACACCUUGCUGGAUCCUUCCCCGGGUAGUCAAAACCAUCGACCAUGGCAGAAUCUAGAAAUAACACUGUCCAGAAUACCCUCUGUCCUCUGAUAGACAGCAGAAUUCCCCUAAUAAUAGACGGCGCUCGCACACGGACCGACAGAACCCCCACCCGAACCCCAAUUCCCAGCUUCCCCCAAUCGCCCAGAGCACGCGACAGCAACGUCGCAUCUUGCUGCUGCUUCUGCUGCUGCUAUGUCCGUCGUCCACUCCACAGGCUAGUGACGAGGAGCUGGAAUUCGCACCGAAAAUGCCGCCCCCACGGGCGCAAGCAGCCCCACGCCCUCCCUCCCUCCCUCCCUCCAAACCCCACCCCACCCAACCCAACCCGGAGNNNNNNNNNNNNNNNNNNNNNNNNNNNNNNNNNNNNNNNNNNNNNNNNNNNNNNNNNNNNNNNNNNNNNNNNNNNNNNNNNNNNNNNNNNNNNNNNNNNNCUCGAUCGGCUCGGCCUCAGGCGCGCGUGCGGUGAGGAGUGGCGGUGUGUGUGGCGCGGAGGAGGCUGCUCCUCCUCUCGUAGUGGGGCUGGGAGGAUGUGGUGGACACCGGUGGGUUUGGUUGGUUGCCUCUCGUCGCGCCAACGAGGAGCGGACAUGUCACGCUCACACCAGACAAGUGGCUCCCGAUGUGGCCGCGGCUGGGCUUCUCAAGCAGUCAAGCUCGUGACGGCGACUUCCGGCACGACUCACGAAGACGUGGCGGUGAGCCGGACCGUCAAGCAGCUGCUCCGGUAGCGCCGCACAUGGAGCCCUGCGGUGCUCGGGUCCAUGAACGGCAACCGGCAGCCGUUGCUUUAUUUGCUACUUGCUCCAGUGAUUGAGCACAUAAGCAGAUUAAUCUUCCAUCAGCACUUGCACUUCUAGCAGUGAUUUUACUCCUGUUUUAGACUAUAACCAAUACUUAUAUUUCAGUAUUGUUUUCUGUUGAGUACCAAUGUAUUCGAGAUCUUAAGUUGAUGUAAUAUGUUUCCACGUUUAUCACGUGUCGAGAUUAAUUACGUCCAUUUGCAAUUGAGAUUUUUAAUCUCUUGCAAAGAUAAAUUCAGUACAUCUACAGUACUGAUUUGCGAUUGAAAAUUUUAUUCUUCCGCAAAACAAUCUCAUUGUGGUUGAGAUUAAUCUCUCUCGCGAAACAUAUUAAUUCACCAUGGUUAAUUAUCUUGCAAUUUGAUACAAGAUCAUCUCAUUUAAUAUGAAGUCUAUACAAUUCAAGUUUUUCACUUGAUCAUCAAGUUUGCAACAUCAUUACUAUUCAUUACAAUAGUAGUGUAUAUCUGUAGAGUACAUUGUAUUCCAGAAUAAAUUGUGAUGUAAUAAAUUUCCAUGUUAUUCUAUAUGUCGAGAUUAUUUACAUCUGUUAUUUGCAAUUGAGAUAUUCAAUUUCUUGCAAAUAAAAAUCAAUUCAUUUUAAUUGAGCCAUUGGCUUGAUACGAGCAAGAAUUGAUAUCCAAAUUCUUAGUGUUGUUUUUCAAAUUGAUAUUUUGAGAAUCACAAGGUAGUGUGUAGAUCUACCGCUUUGCAGAUCAUCACCACUACUAUUAAAGCCUGCAUUUUGUCACUUUGACAAUAUGAUUGCUUUACAAAAUGUCCUCCCCACAUAUUUCACUAAGUCAUGACAUAAGGCAUUACGAGUGAGUAUAUACUGAUUUCAUCGGAUUAUACUCCCUAGUGCUGCGAGAUCCACUCCAUUUUGAAGAUUAUCUUCAAAGUGUCAUACUUAGCAAUUUGAGAUUCACGUUAAUGGUCUCAAGAUAACUUCUUGAAAUACUCAUUAAUUUUGCUAAGCUCACUACAACAUUAACCAUGGUAGUCUUUAAUUUACUAACCGUAAAUUAAUUAUCUCUCGUAACUGAUGGCUAGAGAAUUUGAGGCAUUCGCGCCUCAAUAGCCACCACUGCCUUUCCAUGGGCCAAGGAAAUUAUGAUCACUCUUGAGUCUCGUGGGAUAAUGUGUGAAAUCCAAAACUGUAAGAUUUAUCUAUGGUCAGGAUCACACCGCUAACAGAAAAAUGUUGUCUUAUACAUAAUAAGGCGUUAUAUUGGUUCAGGUCUUAGCAUCUGGUUAUUCCGUAUCAACAAUUCCUGGGCACAAUGAACCUCAAGGGCAAAGGCUUGAAGCUCACUUCAACCUUCAACCUGACAUCACUAAUGAUGACGGAUCCUAUGUGCAUGGAGAAUGUGUGGUUCAUUAUGCCUCAACCGACAUGUUUGGAGAUUAUGAGUAGUCUCUCAAUCUCAAUGUACAAAUACAUUUGUAUGUAUUCUAUAUAUCCGACAGUGAAUUUUUGAGAAUCAUCAUGCCUAUAUAUAGAUUUCUACGAGGGUCAAUCUGAUGAAAGAUGAAUUGUGCAUUAUGGACAUAUGCGCCACGGACUCUAUACUCAGGAAAGUCCAAUGUUUUCACUCUCGUUGAGAGAAAGGAGAUAUUUUAAAAUCGCUAGACGUGAUGAGGUAUUUGUUGGCUCAACUUGAGUCAUAUUUACUAUCCCUGUGGGUACUCGAGUAACGUCGGGAUGCUUUAUUGCUUCCCAGAUUUAACUCGUACCCUACUAAACUAUAGAGGUAUCCGUCAAAAUAGUUCCCAUAGCGAAACUUAUGAUGACAGCAACGAAUAUGGCAGGCAAAUUUUUUAUGUAUCAUCUGAAUUGUACUACACAUACGACACAACCCGUAGCACAUGUUGCGUAUGAGAUAGUUUUCCAGAGUAUCUUGUACAUGACAAACUUGGCAUUCUCGCCUUGGUCAUCGAGAUAUUGGGUUGAAAGCGAAAGUAUCACCAAUUCCAAUAGUUUAUGAUUAUUAUGAUGCUAAAUUCUAACAGUAUUUGGAUUUUGUGUGCACUACAUGUGACACAAGGAAGCUAAUUUUAAGGCUCGCGCACCUUAAAGUCUAUGCUGAACCACUCAGACUCCUUGAAUGCAUCAAGUCGAGGUAAGUGGCUCUUCCCAUCCAUUGACUAGACCAUUUAGGUAUUCCAUGGUUCUAAAAGCCAUAUCUAUAUGAUUGUCUCAAGUGUGAUUUAUUCACAUGAAACCAUUGGUGAUGGGAAACGUCGCAUGGGAAACAAAAAAAAAAUUCCUACGCGCACGAAGACCUAUCAUGGUGAUGUUCGACUACGAGAGGGGAUUUCCGAUCUACGUACCCUUGUAGAUCGCACAGCAGAAGCGUUAGUGAACGCGGUUGAUGUAGUGGAACGUCCUCACGUCCCUCGAUCCGCCCCGCAAACCGUCCCACGAACCGUCCCGCGAUCCGUCCCACGAUCUAGUGCCGAACGGAUGGCACCUCCGCGUUCAGCACACGUACAGCUCGACGAUGAUCUCGGCCUUCUUGAUCCAGCAAGAGAGACGGAGAGGNNNNNNNNNNUGAGUUCUCCGACAGCGUGACGGCGCUCCGGAGGUUGGUGGUGAUCUGAUCUCGGCAGGGCUCCGCCCGAGCUCCGCAGAAACGCGAUCUAGAGGUAAAACCGUGGAAGUAUGUGGUCGGGCUGCCUUUGAAAAGUUGUCUCAAAUCAGCCCUAAUUGCUCCAUAUAUAUAGGAGGAGGGAGGGGAGGCUUGCCUUGAGGCUCAAGGAGCCCCAAGGGCUGCGCACCAAGGGGAGGAGGAGUCCUCCUCCAAUCCUAGUCCAACUAGGAUUGGAAAGUGGAGUCCUUCUCUCCUUUCCCACCUCCUUUUUUUUCUUUCUCUUUGAUUUUCUAUCCUUCGCGCAUAGGGUCCUCUUGGGCUGCCCCACCAGCCCACCAAGGGCUGGUGCGCCACUCCCAAGGCCUAUGGGCUUCCCCGGGGUGGGUUGCCCCCCCGGUGAACACCCGGAACCCAUUCGUCAUUCCCGGUAACUCCGAAAACCUUCCGGUAAUCAAAUGAGGUCAUCCUAUAUAUCAAUCUUCGUUUCCGGACCAUUCUGGAAACCCUCGUGACGUCCGUGAUCUCAUCCGGGACUCCGAACAACAUUCGGUAACCAACCAUAUAACUCAAAUACGCAUAAAACAACGUCGAACCUUAAGUGUGCAGAACCUGCGGGUUCGAGAACUAUGUAUACAUGACCCGAGUGACUCCUCGGUCAAUAUCCAAUAGCGGGACCUGGAUGCCCAUAUUGGAUCCUACAUAUUCUACGAAGAUCUUAUCGUUUGAACCUCAGUGCCAAGGAUUCGUAUAAUCCCGUACGCCAUUCCCUUUGUCCUUCGGUAUGUUACUUGCCCGAGAUUCGAUCGUCAGUAUCCGCAUACCUAUUUCAAUCUCGUUUACCAGCAAGUCUCUUUACUCGUUCCGUAAUACAAGAUCCCGCAACUUACACUAAGUUACAUUGCUUGCAAGGCUUGUGUGUGAUGUUGUAUCACCGAGUGGGCCCCGAGAUACCUCUCCAUCACACGGAGUGACAAAUCCCAGUCUUGAUCCAUACUAACUCAACUAACACCUUCGGAGAUACCUGUAGAGCAUCUUUAUAGUCACCCAGUUAUGUUGCGACGUUUGAUACACACAAAGCAUUCCUCCGGUGUCAGUGAGUUAUAUGAUCUCAUGGUCAUAGGAACAAAUACUUGACACGCAGAAAACAGUAGCAACAAAAUGACACGAUCAACAUGCUACGUCUAUUAGUUUGGGUCUAGUCCAUCACGUGAUUCUUCUAAUGACGUGAUCCAGUUAUCAAGCAACAACACCUUGUAUAUAAUCAGAAGACCCUGACUAUCUUUGAUGAACUGGCUAGCCAACUAGGGGCUUGCUAGGGAUAGUGUUUUGUCUAUGUAUCCACACAUGUAUAUAAGUCUUCAUUCAAUACAAUUAUAGCAUGGAUAAUAAACGAUUAUCUUGAUACAGGAAUUAUAAUAAUAACUAUAUUUAUUAUUGCCUCUAGGGCAUAAUUCCAACAGUCUCCCACUUGCACUAGAGUCAAUAAUCUAGCCCUCACAUCACCAUGUGAAUUACAUUGUAAUAAAUCUAACACCCAUACAGUUCUGGUGUCGAUCAUGUUUUGGCCGUGGGAGAGGUUUAGUCAGCGGGUCUCCUACAUUCAGAUCCGUGUGCACUUUGCAUAUAUUUACGUCCUCUUCCUCGACGUAGUCGCGGAUGAGGUUGAAGCGUCGUUUGAUGUGUCUGGUCUUCUUGUGAAACCGUGGUUCCUUUUCUAAGGCAAUGGCACCCGUGUUGUCACAGAACAAGGUUAUUGGAUUCAGUGCGCUUGGCACCACUCCAAGAUCCGUCAUGAACUGCUUCAUCCAGACACCCUCCUUAGCCGCCUCCGACGCAGCCAUGUACUCCGCUUCACAUGUAGAAUCAGCUACGACGCUUUGCUUGGAACUGCACCAGCUUACAGCACCCCCAUUAAGAAUAAAUACGUAUCCGGUCUGCGACUUAGAGUCGUCCGGAUCUGUGUCAAAGCUUGCAUCGACGUAACCCUUUACGGCGAGCUCUUCGUCACCUCCACACACGAGAAACAUCUCCUUAGUCCUUUUCAGGUACUUCAGGAUAUUCUUAACCGCCGUCCAGUGAUUCACUCCUGGAUUACUCUGGAACUUGCCUGCCAUACUUAUGGCCAGGCUAACGUCCGGUCUAGUGCACAACAUUGCAUACGUGAUAGAUCCUAUGGCUGAAGCAUAGGGGACGGUGCUCAUAUGCUCUCUAUCUUUAUCAGUUGCUGGGCACUGAGUCUUACUCAAUCUCGUACCUUGUAAAACUGGAAAGAACCCUUUCUUGGACUGUUCCAUUUUGAACCUUUUCAAAACUUUAUCAAGGUAUGUGCUUUGUGAAAGUCCUAUCAGGCGUUUCGAUCUAUCCCUGUAGAUCUUAAUGCCUAGAAUGUAAGCAGCUUCUCCUAGGUCCUUCAUAGAGAAACUUUUAUUCAAGUAAUCCUUUACGCUCUCCAAAAACUCUACAUUGUUUCCAAUCAGCAAUAUGUCAUCUACAUAUAAUAUCAGAAACGCCACAGAGCUCCCACUCACUUUCUUGUAAAUACAAGAUUCUCCAACCACUUGUAUAAACCCAAAUGCUUUGAUCACCUCAUCAAAGCGUUUGUUCCAACUCCAAGAUGCUUGCACCAGUCCAUAAAUGGAUCGCUGGAGCUUGCACACCUUGUUAGCAUUCUUAGGAUCGACAAAACCUUUGGGUUGCAUCAUAUACAACUCUUCCUUAAGGAAACCGUUAAGGAACGCCGUUUUGACAUCCAUCUGCCAGAUUUCAUAAUCGAAAAAUGCAGCUAUUGCUAACAUGAUUCUGACGGACUUAAGCAUCGCUACGGGUGAGAAUGUCUCAUCGUUGUCAACUCCUUGAACUUGUGAAAAACCUUUUGCCACAAGUCGAGCUUUAUAAACGGUCACAUUGCCGUCAGCGUCCGUCUUCUUCUUAAAGAUCCAUUUGUUCUGAAUAGCCUUGCGGCCCUCAGGUAGUACUUCCAAAGCCCACACUUUGUUUUCAUACAUGGAUCCUAUCUCGGACUUCAUGGCCUCCAGCCAUUUGUUGGAAUCUGGGCCCACCAUUUCUUCUUCAUAAUUUGCAGGUUCAUUGUUGUCUAACAACAUGAUUGACAAAACGGGAUUACGGUACCACUCUGGAGCAGCACGUGGUCUCGUCGACCUGCGUGGUUCGAUAGGAACUUGAACCGGAGUUUCAUGAUCAUCAUCAUUAACUUCCUCCUCAACCGGCGUCGCAACAACAGGGGUUUCCCCUUGCCCUGCGCCACCAUCCAGAGGGAUGAGAGGUUCGACAACCUCAUCAAGUUCUAUCUUCCUCCCACUCAAUUCUCUCGAGAGAAACUCCUUCUCGAGAAAAGCUCCGUUUUUAGCAACAAACACUUUGCCCUCGGAUUUGAGAUAGAAGGUGUACCCAACUGUCUCUUUUGGGUAACCUAUGAAGAUGCACCUUUCCGCUUUGGGUUCCAUCUUUUNNNNNNNNNNNNNNNNNNNNNNNNNNNNNNNNNNNNNNNNNNNNNNNNNNNNNNNNNNNNNNNNNNNNNNNNNNNNNNNNNNNNNNNNNNNNNNNNNNNNAAUGACUUAGGGUUUGUCCUUCCUGAUUGAAAUUAAAAACAGAAAAUGACUUAGGGUUUGUCCUUCCUGAUUGAAAUUAAAAACAGAAAGUAGAUGCUGCUGCCUCCAGGCCCAUCAUUUAUUUGGUUUUGCUGCUGCUCUACAUGUUCCUUUCUUAAUACUUUCAUGUAACGUGCUUACAUGGACAGCAGAAAACAGAUUAGAUCAUAGAUAGGAUUAGGAGGAAGGAACCAUGGACAAGUGGACAACUAGAGGUGAAUCGGGAAGAGGAAGAAAAGAUGGGGUCGCUGCGUACAAACUGUUCGGCAAGGAAGAGUUGGACCAAGCGGCGGUCGAUGAACUAAUUUGCCUCAUGAAUCGAAGUAUACGAUCGAACUGUCGGCGUAGGCCAAAAGUUAGGGUUCGCAACGAUACGACGAGGUCUCAGGUUGUGGGAAUGAAUCCAUUGUGUUCGCUAAUCGCCUAGAAUAGAACGAUCUCCGGCUCAUGAGGUAUCAAUCGCGUCCCCAACACAGGCACAUAGUUGGACCAGUCAGCGCAGGCCUAGGUCGGGGCCCCUUAGACUUCAGGGGGCCCGGGGCGGCCGCCCCUCCCGCCCCCUGAGGGCCGGGCCUAUCCGCUAGGCGAACGAACGAUCCAAACGAACAAAAUUCAAAUAAAAUUCAUAUACGUUUAAAUCUUCCCGUUGGAGUUAUCCUUACGGGCGGGUAGCUAGGGUGCAAACAUACACGACAGUAAUCCAUGGCUGUGACCCACUCCUGGACGAGGCACAAGGAGCAGGCGUGAAUCGGGACCCAUUGCUCUCGACCGACGCGACGGAUAUGCACACACACUCGCACCUAGUAAAAAACAUGUUCCCAGCUCGUAGGCAUGCAUGCAGUUGCCUCCUGCUCUCCUGCUGCAGCGAAGCAACCAACCCAACCCUGUGUCCCUCUCUGCUGCACGCACGCAGCAUGGCCCUGCCUUGUUUAUUGCGACGUGAAGGCGAGCACUGGAGAGUGGAGUCGAGCCAGCCACAAGCCAAAGCGAAGCGAUGCACGCCGCGGAGCGCCACCGGGUAGCAGCCACGCACAACCCGACGCGGCCUCCGCGUUCCCGGCGCGGAGACGCGAGGCGGCGGCCUGGCCUCUCGUGUGUGCUGUGUUGCUUCGGGCGGAAGGCUUUCAAGUUGGCGGCGCCGCGGCAUGGGCACGUGCCCGAGUCCGGUUUCGCUUCCGCUCCGCCAGCCCACUGCUCCGUUGGGUUCCUACUUCCUAGCGAGGUCGACCGAUCGCGAUGGCCGUCGACGUCCAUCGCCACCACACACAAACGUUUGUACGGCCCGGCGCCCGGCGGGCUGACGUUCCCAUGCAAGGCCGACGUGCCGCGCGCCUGCCGACCACGUCUUCUUUUCAACGCGGCGCGUCGGCAUCGCAGCUGCAGCGCGUACCGCGUACUGUGAUGCCACUGGGGUUUAGGGGGGAGGCAGGCUUUAUCCAUUUCGGCCACUACGGGAUAUUCCUUGCAUUUGUUUACUUUGUAAGCAAUUCUAAAUGAAAGGGAAAAAAAAUUGCAAAAAUGAUUGCGCGCAACACUACGUGCACUAAUGUCAUGAUGAUGCAACUAAUGCCCGUAGACAAGAUUUCGUAACCAGACAAUUUCUAUUACUACUAAAAAUCUGUCAAGGUACACUUCAAAAAAAGUAUCUGUCAAGGUAACUCAAUCCUUAUUUUUUCUCUACUCAUGGCUUACUGUAAACCAAAUAUUCCUUGGCUUAACUACCCCUCGAAUUAUUAAGAAACAAACUGUUUACAUGCCUGCUAAUAGUAGUAGCCAGAUCAACGUUUUCUCACCAGUUUUAGUUGUACGAAUUUUGAUGCCUGGUUGAAGGUUCACAUCACUUACUUAAAGAUAGUGAUUUCUCUGCCACUCGAGCUAUAAAACCUUUACAUUUGCAUUAUGUUAUGUUGUCUAUUUCCUUUUCUCGACCAAUUUCUUCACAUGAUUUUUCUCGAAUUUAUCCGACCCACGAUCCAACCUUGGCUUCUAACUCCCGCGACGCCUCUUCCCUUGGUUUUGACACCAUCAUCCUCCCGCCACAGAGGUGUCUCCUGGUCACAAACUUGUCCGCUCCACUAAGAAUUAGUCAACGUCGUCAUUUGCCGACAUGGUUUGCGGCCUGCAUUUUUCGACUUGAAAUCUGCACUCAAUGUUCAUCUAGAUCGGUAUUUUGAUUGGAAUAGUGUUAAUAACUUUCUCUUCUACCAACGGUAGUCACCAGUUCAAUUCGUGGAAUUUUGGUAUUAAUUCUCAUAGCACUUCUCUUACCAUCAAGUGAAACAAAAGACAUAAAUAGUUGUUGUCUAUAGACUAAUAGCUAGCGUGUAUGAGCAAUGUGAGGACGUGUACACUAGCUUGAUGUUAACCUUUCUGUUAGGGAAGCGAUGUAGGAUAAUCAUUAACUUGAAAGUUGUAGUGAAAAAAAGUUCAAUGGUAGACGGGUUUAUUUUCGAACGGGAAUUCCUCAUUCGAUGGUGUUUUUCAUCAUGAUCUGUUUUUAUAAUAAUGUGGACUAGUUGGUUUACUACGCACUAUAGUUGGUGGGAAACCUAGUAGAAACCAAAAAAAAUCUUCACUACCUAUGUAUACCCAUGUAAAAGGGUCACAUCCCGAUCUCACCUCAUUUGUGAUUUUUUUUCCGGAUGUGAUCCUUUUUUUACCGUCACCCGUUAUGGUUGUAGGCAUACACACAUCCUACUGUCACUCAUUCUGGCGGUAGGGGUCGGGCCAACGCAUAUGACACUUUGGGAUCAACGGGGUCAAAUGACGCCACCUCCACUGACCUCACCCUUACCGCCACUUCGUGUGGCGAUAGGAAAAAAAAGCCAGUCAGAUCAGGCUAAAGUUAGCAAAAAGGGUCAAAAUCGUGAAUUUGGCCCCUAUAGGAGAGAUAAUUUUAAAUACAAAUGUUUAUAUAUUACUAACAUUUUCGCAUGAGGUUCUCCACUUCCAAUGGUUUUUUCCAACUUGAUUGGUACCUUCAUUGCAAACCAGCUUUUAGGUCCAAUGUUGUUCUCCUCUUAGCAUGACUAAGUUGAUUUGUUGUGCAUGUGUAAGACUGUGUUUGGUUCAACUUAGGGGCCAGCUUUUAGGUCCAAUGUUGUUCUCCUCUUAGCAUGACUUAAGGUAAUAUGCUUAAGUUGAUUUGUUGUGCAUGUGUAAGGUUGUGUUUGGUUCAACUUAGGGGCCAGCUUUUAGGUCCAAAAGCUAAAAUCUGAACCACACGUGUUUUCCAUCGGACUAACUUCGUAAGAAACUGCGGAUUCUCUCUCCGUAAAUUUCGUAGCUAGCCCAACCCAACUUUCCCAACUUGAAAACCAACCCAAAUAAUUGUCCCGAGGAAGUUGGGUAUUAUUUACCCACGUUUGGCACUCUGAAGUGAAGGUAACCCUUCGAUCUAUUCUCCCACGACCCGUCACUCAAUGAACAGACAGAGCCGCGAGCCGCUCCGGGAGAUGCUCUCCUCGCUAGGGUUCGCCGCCACCAGCAACUACAGCCGGCCUCUGGCGAUCCUCCGACCCCCACUGUCGCCCGAAGCUUCAUUUUCAUCCGAGGUAAUACCUUUGUCCCUCUCCUCCCUCUUUCCUCCCUCCAUCCCCUUCGUCCCUUCCUUCAACCGGUCGUCAUGCGAUCCUCAUCUAGUCGGUCGUCACGCAUCGCGGGAGCACUGCGGGCUUGUCGUUCGGCGCCGUCGGAGCACCGACCCUCGUUCACCCCUACCCCCUCGUCCCCCUUCGUCCCCUUCGUCCCUCCUUUCUCCCCUUCGUCUAUGUCCGUCAACCCUCGUCGAGUCAAUCGUCACGCACCGCCACUACCGACUGGCCAUCCAGCACCAUCGGAGCAACGUCCCUCCUUCACCCCCACCCUACUGCCUCCUCCCUCCUUCAUAUGUCCUCCCUCUCUCUAUUCCAGAAUGAUCCAGAUCUGGGCCUCCCUUGUUUUCUUAAUUAUUGGAUGAGUAUGUUAUGUAGUAUGGCUAUUUUGUGAGUAUGUAGAUGGUUACUUGAUGGUAUUGCUGCAUAUUGUUUGUCAUAUUGGUUAGUAUUGUUGAACUAUGGGUUUUUUUUUGUUAAUAUUGGUGCAUAUUAUCGGGGAACGUUGCAUGGGAAACAAAAAAUUCCCUACGCACACGAAGACCUAUCAUGAUGAUGAUCAUCUACGAGAGGGAGAUCAGAUCCACAUAACCUUGUAGAAUGCUAAGUGGAAGCGUAUAUAAUGCGGUUGAUGUAGUGGAACAUCUUCGCGAUCCAAAUCACAACCCGUCCCACGAUAUCAUCACGAUCCGUCCCGCGAUCCCAUCACGAUCCAUGCCGAUCUAGUGCCGAACGGACGACACCUCCGCGUUCAACACACGUAUAGCUCGAUGACGAUCCCGGCCUUCUUGAUACAGCAAGAGGGGCAGAGAAGUAGAUGAGUUCUCCAGCACGUCGUGGUGGUGGUGAUGGUGAACUAAUUCAGCAGGGCUUCACCUAGUGCUCCCUUGUACAAGUGGAAUGGUGUGAAUGUGCCUCAAAUUUGGAAAGAGGUCAUCCCAAAAAUAAGGAAGAUAACAGCCAACAAGUGGCCUAGUGCUCCCUUGAACAAAAACAAGAAGUGGAAAUGGCGGCUUGACAACAACUCCGUGUGAGGUAAGCAAAAGCAAUAAAACGCAAGCACUUUUUUUUAACUAUGGAAGCUUUUGCUUGUGUGUUGAGUUAUGUAAGAGUUUUCAACUUUUCUUUUCUGUUGACUAAUUAUUAUUUAACCUGAGGACCAAUUAUUCUGUAACCUGACAACUAAGUAGUACAUAAUCUGGAAACUAAGGAUUAUAUAAACUGGUAGCUAAGUACUUUCAUCUACAACUAUCUUUUAACAACAUGAUAAUUAAGAUGUAGCAACUAAGUACUUCCAUCUGAGAACCUGAUAAUUAGUUAUCUGACAACUAUCUUUUUUAAUCAAAAUAACUAAGUAAUUGCAUUCUGGCAACGACUCCCUUUGUAUCAAUACAAUAACAAGCUAGUACUAACCUUUUUUUAAAACUACAGCAGGCCGCUUUCACUGUAGUUAGCUAUGCAUGAGACAAGAGGCAUGCGUUUCACUGUAGUUAAUUAUGCAUGGGACAGGAGGCAUGCGUUGCGAGGCUCUGACAGAGUGGCUAGCCGCUGCAUCGCACGCAUGCUACGCAACUAUUUUAGAAACCGCCGCACGAAACACAUACGUUUUUAGUUGUCGGAUUAUAGUGUACUUACUUGCCAGUUCUAAAAAAAUUCAGUUUUGCCAAAUACAUGUGCUCAAAUUCUGGCAAGAGAUGGUUUUCAUUUAGGAAACUAAGUAUUAAAAAUGCUUCAAUCAGAUUUUUUUAAAACCUAGCAGCCAAACGAUUGUAUUUUAAAUUAAACGACUUAGUAUAACCUUUACACAUAAACUGAGGGGAAUACAAGAAAGUUACAUAUCACACAAAAGAGACACACAUAUAUAAAAUAGCACCAAGAACGACAUUAGCACCCCUCGCAGAACAUAGAGCAUUCAGAAUUACAUAUAUAAAUAGCUUCCAGAAUUUUAUAUAUAAAUCCAACAUUACACAAUACAUCCAGGAAAACAUCUCAUCUUCAGUUUGGAAGGGGGGCGGGUUUGUCCCUCGUCGAGCAUGUCCUCACAUCAUGUGUGAUUGAUCCAGAGAGCCGACAGGUCUUUUUUUCUUUCUUGCCAAUGUUCAAUGGGUGCUGGAAUGUCUUCUUCCUCUUGCGCCCUUUGUGUUUGACUUUUUUGGGUCACGAAGGAUAGGAUCAUGAGCAACUACAUGUGAAGAAUGGUGCUGGUUGUUCGAGCCACGAAACAGGGUAGAAGUAGCAUUUGUAGCAACAACCAUUGGCCAAGCAGACACACUCAAAACACUCAUGGAUGCACUUUGGCUUUGAAUUUGGGGGUCAGAAGCAGCUGCAUGGGGAGAGUGGGCUUGGUUGUUUGAGCGAGGACCGGCUUGGACAAUAUAGAUACUUGGACCAACAAUGUUCAACAUAACCGACGCACUAGCUGCAGCCGCCAAAGCACUUCGGGCAGAAUAUGCACCUAGAGUAGCAGACCCUAUAGCAGCAGACUUUGACAUAGUUGUUGUACUCCCAGCUACCGUUGUAGCACCGUGGCAUAUAAUGUUUGGCUCAGCAAGAACUACAUAGGAUGAACGGACUUUAUUGUUGGAAGCACCAACUUGGGCAGAAUAUACACCAGGAGCAUCAGGAUUUGGCAUAAAUGGUGCACUCACAGCAGCCACCGAAGCACUUCGGCCCUGAGUGGUUGGCUCGAAAGUAGCUGCAUACAAACAAUGACCUUGGUUGUUGGAGACGUGAACUUGGGCAGAAUAGGCACGUGGAGCAGCAUAUUUUGACAUAGAUGGUGCACUCGCAACAGUUGCUGAAGAAUCUGGAGCAACAUCAACCAUUGAUCCUCUUUUCGUUUGUUCUUUCGCAAGUGCAGCAAGCUCCCUCUUCAUAUCCUUUAAGUGUGUACCUAUUAUCUUCGACCAUCAGUUGUGCGGCACCCAACUUUAGCAAGUGAGGCAAACUCAUUCUUCAUGAGGGUUGUUUUCAUCAGAAUCACUGACUCCUCAGGCAUCUCAUGCACUUUGCCACGGACUUGUGACGACAUAUCAACGAGCAUUUCCUCCAUAAGCCAUGUCCAUCUCUUGAGUAUGUAUGUUGCUGGCAACGUGGUAACACCAAGAUGGACCAUGACCUGCAUCGUACAAGUAAAUAAUACAUUAGUCAUGGAAAGAAAAAGACAGAUAUUUUGAGUCAUUCAAUUAUGCAUUUGGAGAACCCAGCAACCCCCAAAAUCUGCGAAGUAGGAAAAGAAGUGGAGAACAUGACAAUUAUGAAUACAAAAGCCAGCAAGUCCGCAAAAUAGGAAUAUGGAAAUGUGUUGGAAAUAUGCCCUAGAGGCAAUGAUAAAUACUUAUUAUUACAUUUCCAGUUACAAAGAUAAUCGUUUAUUAUCCAUGUUAUAAUUGUAUUGAAUGAAAACAUAGAUACAUGUGUGGAUACAUAGACAAAACAAUAUCCCUAGCAAGCCUCUAGUUGGCUAGCCAGUCGAUCAAUGAUAGUCAAGAUUUUCUGACUAUGUGCAAGUGUUGUCACUUGAUAACUGGAUCACAUCAUUAGGAGAAUCAUGUGAUGGACUAGACCCAAACUAUGAACGUAGCAUAUUGAUCGUGUCGUUUUAUUGCUAUUGUUUUCUGCGUGUCAAGUAUUUGUUCCUAUGACAAUGAGAUCAUAUAACUGACUGGCACCGGAGGAAUACCUUGUGUGCAUCAAACGUCGCAACGUAACUGGGUGACUAUAAAGGUGCUCUACAGGUAUCUCCGAAGGUGUCCAUUGAGUUAGUAUGGAUCAAGACUAGGAUUUGUCACUCCGUGUGACGGAGAGGUAUCUCGGGGCCCACUCGGUAAUACAACACAACACACAAGCCUUGCAAGCAAUGUGAUUAAGUGUAAGUCACGGGAUCUUCUUUACGGAACGAGUAAAGAGACUUGACGGUAACGAGAUUGAAAUAGGUAUGCGAAUACCGACGAUCGACCCUCGGGCAAGUAACAUACCGAAGGACAAAGGAAAUGACAUACGGGAUUAUAUGAAUCAUUGACACUGAGGUUCAAUCGAUAAGAUCUUUGGAGAAUAUGUAGGAUCCAAUAUGAGCAUCCAGGUCCCGCUAUUGGAUAUUGACCGAGGAGUGUCUCGGGUCAUGUCUACAUAGUUCUCGAACCCGCAGGGUCUGCACACUUAAGGUUCGAUGAUGUUUUAGUAUAGUUGAGUUAUAUGUGUGGUUACCGAAUGUUGUUCGGAGGCCCGGAUGAGAUCACGGACGUCACGAGGGUUUUCCAGAAUGGUCCGAAAACGAAGAUUGAUAUAUAGGAUGGUUUCAUUUGGUCAUCGGAAAGUUUCGGGCAAUUCCGGCAGUGUACACGGAGUGACGAAUGUGUUCCGGGUGUUUACCGGGAGGGGCCCACCCACCCGGGAGUGAGCCCAAGGCCCUAGGGUGGCGCACCAAGCCCCUAGUGGGCUGGUGGAGUCAGCCCAAGAGGGCUAUGUCGCCACAUAAGAAAAUACCAAAAGAAAAGAAGAAAAAAAGGAAAGAGGGAGGUGGGAAGGAAGAGGAGGACUCCUCCUUCCCAAAUCAAAUUGGAGGAGUCCUCCUCCUCCUGGCGUCCGGCGCACCUGGAGGCCCUUGUGCCUCAAGGCUUGCCCCUCUCCUCCUCCUAUAUAUAUAUUGGUAGUUUAGGGCUUUUUGAGACACAACUUUACCACAUGCAACUCAAGGCUAUUCCACAUAGUUUUAACUCUAGAUCGGAUUUCUGCGGAGCUCGGGCGGAGCCUUGCAAGAGUAGAUCGUCACCACCACCGGAGCGCCGUCACGCUGUCGGAGAACUCAUCUACUUCUCCGUCUUGCUUGCUGGAUCAAGAAGGCCAAGAUCAUCGUUGAGCUGUACGUGUGCUGAACGCGGAGGUGUCGUCCGUUCGGCGCUAGAUCGAAACGGAUAGUGGGACGGAUCGCGAGACGGUUCGUGGGACGGAUCCUGGGGCGGUUCGAGGGACGUGAAGACGUUCCACUAUAUCAACCGCGUUUCUUAACGCUUCCUGCUGAGCGAUCUACAAGGGUAUGUAGAUCUAAUCUCCACUCGUAGAUGGACAUCACCAUGAUAGGUAUCCGUAUGCGUAGGAAUUUUUUUGUUUCUCAUGCAACGUUCCCCAACAGUGGCAUCAUGAGCUAGGUUGAUGCGUAGAUGUUAUCUCGAGUAGAACACAAAAGGUUUUUUGGACGGUGAAGUUCGAUUUGCUGCCCUCCUUAGUCUUUUCUCGAUUCGGCGGUAUUGUUGGAUUGAAGCGGCCCGGACCGACAUAACUCGUACGCUUACGAGAGACUGGUUUCAUCGAUUGACAUGCAACCUCGUUGCAUAAAGAUGACUGGUGGGUGUCGGUUUCUUCAACUUUAUUUGAAUUGGUUUUUGACCGAGGCCGUCCUUGGAGAGAGGUUAAAUAGCAAUUUGCACAUCUCCGUUGUGGUUUUUGCGUAAGUAAGAUGCGAUCAUACUAGAUACCCAUAGCAGCCACAUAAAAUAUGCAACAACAAAUUAGAGGACGUCUAACUUGUUUUUGCAGGGUAUGCUUGUGAUAUGAUAUGGCCAAUGACGUGAUGUGAUAUAUUGGAUGUAUGAGAUCAUCAUGUUGUAAUAGUUAAUAUUGACUUGCACGUCGAUGCUACGACAACCGGCAGGAGCCAUAGGGUUGUCUUUAAACUAAUGUUUGUGUUUGCAGAUGCGUUUACUAUAUUUCUAGGUCAUAGCUUUAGUGGUAAUAGCAUAGAUAACACGACAACCUCGAUGGCGACACGUUGAUGGAGAUCAUGAUGAUGGAGAUCAUGGUGUGGCUCCGGUGACAAGAAGAUCAUGACGGUGCUUUGGUGAUGGAGAUCAAGAAGCACAAGAUGAUGGCCAUAUCAUGUCACUUAUGAAUUGCAUGUGAUGUUAAUCCUUUUCUGCACCUGAUUUUGCUUAGAACGACGGUAGCAUUAUGAGGUGAUCUCUCACUAAAAUUUCAAGACGAAAUUGUGUUAUCCCCAACUGUGCACCGUUGCGACAGUUCGUAGUUUCGAGACACCACGUGAUGAUCAGGUGUGAUAGACUCAACGUUCACAUACAACGGGUGCAAAACAGUUGCACACACGGAACACUCGGGUUAAACUUGACGAGCCUAGCAUGUGCAGACAUGGCCUCGGAACACAUGAUACCGAAAGGUCGAGCAUGAAUCAUAUAGUUGAUAUGAUUAGCAUAGAGAUGCUUACCACUGAAACUAUUCUCAACUCACGUGAUGAUCAGACUUGAGUUAGUGAAUUUGGAUCAUGUACCACUCAAAUGACUAGAGAGAUGUACUUUUUGAGUGGGAGUUUAUCAAGUAAUUUGAUUAGUUAAACUCUAAUUAUCUUAAACUUAGUCUAAGUCCACUUUGCAAUAUUUGUGUUGUAGAUCAAUCGCUCACGCAAUAGUCACCCUGAAUUUUAAUACGUUCCUAGAGAAAUCUAAGUUGAAAGAUGAUGGAAGCAACUUUGUAGACUGGGCUCGUAAUCUUAAGUUGCUCCUGCAAGCUUGGAAGAAAGAUUAUGUCCUUAAUGCUGCGCUAGGAGAUGAACUACCCGCUAUGGCUGACCAAGAUGUUAAGAACGCUUGGUUAACAUGUAAGGAGGACUACUGAGUAGUUCAGUGUGCAGUCUUGUAUGGCUUAGAGUCGGGACUUCAACGUUGCUUUGAGCGUCAUGGAGCAUAUGAGAUGUUCCAGGAGUUAAAGUUUAUCUUUCAGAAGAACGCCCGGAUCGAGAGGUAUGAGACCUCCGAUAAAUUCUGUGCUUGCAAGAUGGAGGAGAAUUCGUCUGUCAGUGAACAUGUGCUCAAAAUGUCUGGGUACUCAAACCGUCUAGCUGAACUGGGCAUUGAACUCCCGCAAGAAGCUAUCACUGACAGAAUCCUUCAAUCACUGCCGCCAAGCUAUAAAGGGUUUGUGUUGAACUAGAACAUGCGAGGGAUGAACAAGUCUCCCGGCGAGUUGUUUGCGAUGCUGAAAGUCGCAGAGUCUGAACUCCGUAAAGAGCAUCAAGUGUUGAUGGUGAAUAAGACCACUAGUUUCAAGAGAAACGACAAAGGCACGAAGGGCAAUUCGAAGAAGAGCGGCAAACCUGUUGCCAAUCCGCCGAAGAAACCCAAGGCUGGACCUAAGCCUGAAACAGAGUGCUUCUAUUGCAAGGGUAUGUGUCACUCGAAGCGCAAUUGCCCCAAGUAUCUGGCAGAUAAGAAGGCGGGCAAAGAAAAAUCAGGUAUAUUUGAUAUACAUGUUAUUGAUGUGUACUUAACCGGCUCUCAUAGUAGUGCCUGGGUAUUCGAUACCGGUUCUGUUGCUCAUAUUUGCAACUCGAAGCAGGAACUGCGGAAUAGACGAAGGCUGGCGAAAGACGAAGUGACGAUGCGCGUAGGAAACGGUUCCAAGGUUGAUGCAAUCGCCGUCGGCACAGUGUCACUUCAGCUACCAUCGGGAUUAGUGAUGAACUUAAAUCAUUGUUAUUUAGUGCCUGCGUUGACCAUGAACAUUAUAUCUGGAUCUUGUUUAUUGCAAGACGGUUACUCUUUUAAGUCUGAGAAUAAUGGUUGUUCUAUUUCUGUGAGUAACAUCUUUUAUGGUCAUGCACCGAAUGUGAGAGGAUUGUUCAUAUUGAAUCUUGAUAGCGAUACGCAUAUACAUAACAUUGAGACCAAAAGAGUUAGAGUAAACAAUGAUAGCGCCAUAUUUUUGUGGCACUGCCGUUUAGGUCAUAUUGGUGUAAAGCGCAUGAAGAAACUCCAUGCUGAUGGACUUUUGGAGUCACUUGACUUUGAUUCACUUGACACGUGCGAACCAUGUCUCAUGGGCAAGAUGACUAAAACUCCGUUCUCCGGAACAAUGGAGCAUGCAAGUGACUUGUUGGAAAUCAUACAUACCGAUGUGUGUGGACCAAUGAGCGUAGAGGCACACGGUGGAUAUCGUUAUUUUCUUACCUUCACUGACGAUUUAAGUAGAUAUGGUUAUGUCUACUUGAUGAAGCACAAGUCUGAAACAUUUGAAAAGUUCAAGCAAUUUCAGAGUGAAGUGGAAAAUCAUCGUAACAAGAAGAUCAAGUUCCUACGUUCUGAUUGUGGGGGUGAAUAUCUGAGUUUCGAGUUUGGUGCUCACUUAAGACAAUGUGGAAUUGUUUCACAGUUAACACCGCCNNNNNNNNNNNNNNNNNNNNNNNNNNNNNNNNNNNNNNNNNNNNNNNNNNNNNNNNNNNNNNNNNNNNNNNNNNNNNNNNNNNNNNNNNNNNNNNNNNNNCAGAAGCACGGUGUACUCUACGAUUCUCUUUCUUUGAGUCAUAGGAACGCCCUACUGUUAAGAGGGGACCCGUAGUGGAAAGGUUUGGGUGGAAUCAAUUUUGCAUGCACUCACUUUAUCUUCCUUCCCCUUGCCUGCAACUUUGGAGUAUCUCCCGCCUAUGUGCUUAUCUCAUCUAAGCAAAAGGUCCCCCAGCGGUAGUACCGCUGUGGCUAGCGGUAGUAUCGCUAGCCCUAGCGGUAGUACCGCUAGAGUGCUAGCGGUAGUACCGCUGCCGCCAGCGGUAGUACCGCUAGCUGGCGGUAGUACCGCCCCUGGUGAGCGGUAGUACCACCCCAGAAGCUUAGUACCGCCUUCCUAGUGGUUGUACUUCGACGGACCUUUUUGCGAAGACUUUCUUGGCGGUGGUUGGCCCGGUACUGCUUAUGCACUACCAUGGGCCCAACGGUAGUACCGCUGGAGUGCUAGCGAUAGUACCGCUGGGUCCAGCGGUAGUACCACUAGGCACGGGCCGUGAGUGGGAAAACGGUUGGAUUUUUCCCCUCACUAUAUAAGGGGUUCUUCUAGCUGUGGAACCCCAUCUCUUACCCUUCCAAGCUCCAUUGUUGCUCCCUAAGCUCAAAAGUGCCCGAUCUCUCUCCCUAGCCAAUCAAACUUGUUGAUUCUUUAGGGAUUGGUUGAGAAGGCCUAGAUCCACACUUCCACCAAGAGAAAAGUUGAUUCCCCCACCAAUCCCUUGCGGANNNNNNNNNNAAAACUUGUUGAUUCUCUAGGGAUUGAUUGAGAAUGCCUAGAUCUACACUUCCACCAAGAGAAAAGUUGAUUCCCCCACCAAUCCCUUGCGGANNNNNNNNNNCUAGGGAUUGGUUGAGAAGGCCUAGAUCUACACUUCCACCAAGAGANNNNNNNNNNNNNNNNNNNNNNNNNNNNNNNNNNNNNNNNNNNNNNNNNNNNNNNNNNNNNNNNNNNNNNNNNNNNNNNNNNNNNNNNNNNNNNNNNNNNUCNNNNNNNNNNNNNNNNNNNNNNNNNNNNNNNNNNNNNNNNNNNNNNNNNNNGGCGGCAGGGAGGGUUUGCGUCGGCGAGGCCCGCGGCGAGGGGCGAUGCGAGGGGCGAUGGAGGGUGGGGGCGGGCGAGGGACGCAAUAAAUUGGGGCCGCUGGGGUGGGCUGGCUUCGCUAUGCUGGUUAACCUCGGAAGGAAAAAGGAAAGGGAAGGGAAGGUGUUAAUUCCGGAGUGGAGUUAAUGCGCUCCGCUGCCGCUCGCUCGCUCGCCCUGCUAAUCCUAAUCGCGGGGUUAGUGGAUUAUGAGAUGAUGGAUUACGAAUCCGGCGAGCCGCGCUUUACCGCUGCCCGCUGGGGGAGAAAGAGGGAGGGAGGGAGGAAGAGAGCCGCCGCGGUGGGGCCCCCGUGUCAGCGGCAGCGGCAGACUGUACUGCGGUCGUUUGCUGGAAGCCCGAGCCGGCCGGUGUCAACGCCGGUCAGACGGUCGUCGCCCGCGCGCGCUUGGACGGACACGACACGACGGCAAUUUUUAUCCGGGCCCUGUGGCUUGUGUGGUGCCAAUCUUCGUUUGUUUUUUUACAUGUCUUUGGGGAGGUGUUUGACUGGCCCUUGGCCAUAUCACAGUUACCUCUUCAUUGUUUUCCAUAUGUCCAACCACUAGUAGUAGUUUAUGGAGUGGUGAUAUUGUUUUGUCAACAUGGUUAUCUCUUCAUUGUUUUUUAUAUAGCUAACCACCGGUUUAUCCAGUGGUGAUAAAGCCAGGUUUUGCUUUUGUAUAUCAAAUUUAUGGGUGGGCGGGCAAUUGGGGGUGGAAAUCGGUACCGACGUGUUUUGUUGCUUGCCUUGAAGGCGGGCGGGUGGAGGAGGGAGCAAGGUUGCGGUUAUGGAUUAAAGACUUGGAGCAAGUCCGAUUGAUGUCGGAUAGAUUUAUCGAACGUGCAAAUAUGUUUCAGUAACGACCUUUUAAGGUGGUAUUGAUGGGUUUAUCACUUCUUUGCAGUCUACUUACAUGACUGUACGACGAUACGGGUUGCAUUGUCAUCACGCGUCAUUAAUCUUGUAUCUACAAAGAGCAUCGUUCCAGUUUGUUUGUUUUUUUGGCAGGGGUCGUUGGGGCGAUACCGUUGUUCAGGGAGGUGGUUCCACUAAAGGGAAUAUCCCCCCCAAUAUGCGGAACCAUAUGGGUAACGCCAAUUCGGCCGAGCUACUCGAAUCCUCGCUUGCGUAUCUGCGCAAAUGACGGCACAUGACAUCUCGCAUUGGCAUUCGGUCACCGCCGUGGAGGAAAAAACCAUGCCUUUCUCCCCUCAGCCUCCCACACAUCCAUUCGCGCUCAAAAGUCGUGUUCGUCGCUUACCUUGAGGAAGACGGGUGAGCAGGUGGGGCAGGGGCGAAGUUGCAAUUGCGGGUUGACGACUUGGAGCAUGACUAGUUAAUAUAGGAUAUGUAAAACAUGUGAUGUGGUUUUGUAAGGGCCGACGAUGAGGUUUUGCAACGGUUGACGUGGCAUGAUCGCACGUGUGAAAAGUUGACAAAAUAACAUUAUACUAAAGCAUUAAGUUUGCUUCGUUUUAACGGUCAGACUAAUGUGCUUAGGUAUUACAACAUUUUGAAAGCGAUGUUUUGUAAGAUAAUAGGAAAUCCACAUCAUUAUGAAAAUAUAUCUUAUUCGGACCUGAAUUGGGAUGCAUUUAUUAUUUUCUUUUGAGCCUCUCGCAUCCGUACUUCAGUCGAAGUAACUUGUUUCCAUUUAUACUCAUACCGAUAUACUUCGUACACUAUUUCUAAUGAUAUCUUGUAGCUACUUUUGCGUGUGGUGCAUAUGAAUAAGAACUUGCUCAAGUAUUCUAUGACACGGUCAUAAUUAUAUUCGAUGGGCAAUCUUGUAACUUAUUUUUUAGAGGCUUUAUAACUUUUUGUUGUUUUACAUGAUUUUUCCAUGGAGGUGUUAUUAUUUCAGUCGUCAAAUGCAUCUUCGUUGUAUCCAAAGAUAAAUUGAAUCCAUACAACACUCAGGCGUUAAGUUUGGAAGGUUUGUGAAACAAAAAAGGCACAUGCUUCAUGGAUUUUACUUUGGUUAGGUGGGGGUGCCGAGGGGUAAAUUGGGUUGAAAACGUUUAGAAAAUGGACUACGCUAUACAAGGGAGUGGACACUCAACGGGGGAAAUUGAUACCAAUAUACUCACCCUUUUCUUUUGAACUGGAUGUGUUGUUUGCCUCAACAUUCGUUUUAUGUUGUUUCUUGUGGGCGAACACGAAAGCCUAUUUCGACGAGAAGAGAAGGAGAGAGAGUAGACACACUUAGAAGAUGCAGUUAUAGAUUAACGACUUGAAACAAGUAUGGUCAACAGUGCGGCCUUCCUUGUAUGGUAAUAUGGGUUGCAUUACUAUCAUGCUUAAUUAAUAUUGUCCCUAGCUGAGUAUCGUUGUACUAUCUUUGAUUCUCGAUAUCUAUAAUUUAAUGGUGUCCAUAUUAUUGCAUUAUUUCACAUGAUCACAAUUGUAUUUAGAUGAUUUAAGGUCAUAAAUUUUAUUAAUUGCUUCUCUCACGCAUGGAGAUUCGGUUUUUAGAGAUUGUGACAUCUCCCAAGCAAUAUUCUAUAAGAUACCCACAAUCCGCCUUGAUACAAAAAAAUAGGUAAACGCUUCCAUCCGGUGCGCCUCGCUGGCAAUGCUUGCAACAUUUUUCCGUUAAAUUUGCUGCAACCGUGUGUUUUUCGAAAACAAACGUUUUAAUGCAACUUUUUUUUCGUGUAAAUUUGUUGCAAACAACGUCAUAUUUGCUGCAUAUUCGAUUGGUUGCAACUCCAAUUCGUCGGAUUUUUCGUUACAAUCGAUGUUUUUACUUUUGCUACAACCGUGUUAAUUCUUGCUACAACCGGCAUCAUUUUUUGCUCUAACCGUUUACUAAAAAAGUUACAUACACGUGCACGUAGAUAUUUGUUACAACCGGCGUUUGACUUUUGCUACCAUGCACCAUCAGCUUCGUUUUUUUUGCUACGAUCAUGUAGAUUUUUUUUUUGCUAUAAAUUUUGUUAUUUAUUGCAACCGUUGAAAAAAAUUGCUGCAUUGCAUCGAAUUUUUGCUGCAUCGAAAGAAAAAUAUUGCAUGGAGAUCCAACGGUGCGCACGCGCGGGGGUGGUGGAUCGUGCGGCCGGCGCGCGGCGCGCCGGCGCAGAGCACUGUUAAAAAAAAAUACUAUGUAUGUGCCUCCGUCCCGGAUCUUGAGAGUAAUAACUCGGAUCUGGGUCUUCACCGAUCAUUCUCUCCUACAAAGUUGGAAGACUGCCAGUGUCUUCCUGCGAUCUUCCAUGUGCUUUCAAGGGAUGAUGACACGGUGCGUUGGCCCCACUCCUCUUGAGGCGAAUUUCGGUUAAAUCGUUGUAAGUUAGGUUGAGCUCUGGUUCCCCUUCCUCAAGGUUAAAAUCUAAAGUAUUUAUGGAGCGCGUGUUCCUCAUAAGUCAUAAGAUAUGUAUAUUCCUUUAGCAAGCUGCUAGAGGGAGACUUUGGGCGGCAGACCAAAUUCGCAACGACCUUGGUUAGGAGUUUUGUUCCCCGUGUGGUGCCCUUGAGGAUAUUGACCACAUCAAUCUAAUUUGUGACCUUGCCAAAUUGGCCCAGAGUUGCACCCGGGCGUAGUUGGAUGUAAAUGGAUUCCUACUUCUUUGCCAACGUUGUGGAUGCCUCGGGUGUUUGUUUCAGGUGUUGCCUUGAGGCUUUAUUUGUAAGGUCGUGUGCUCGCCUUUUCUUAAAAAAAAACAGAUAAAAAACAUACUUCUUCCGUUUAAAAAUACUUAUCAUAGAAAUGAAUGUACCUAGAUGUACUUUAGACCGACGCUGUGGGUGCAGUGCUCCACCCAACCAUCGGGUGUGGCCGGGUCCCGGGACACGUACCCCGACGGUACUGCGGCGGUGCAGCCAGCCUGCAUACAGUAGCAGGUAUGUAUGGGUGUACCCAAGGAAAACACAGGUAUAUGUGUGCAGUACUAGACCGUUCGUCCAUUCGGGUAUUACAGGUAAAUCCGUUCUGCGACGAGGAAGAAAAACCGUCUUCCGUUCACACCAACGCAUCGGCGGACGGGGGGAAAAGCUUCGCCUGCUGCCUGCCGCCGAUGACGGUCAAGGGGGCCUGAGCAUGUGGUCCGGUAGAUAUGACACGAUACGUCGAUACCAGAGGUUGCGACGACUUUGGCGCCGGGAAAGCUGCGGCCAGCGGGGCCUCGUGCUGACUCGUGACUCGGCUCCUUUGUCAGGUGGGCCGGGUGAAUCUGAGCCUGGUCCACCUUCGAAAAAACAAACAGCCUGAACCUCUCACGGUGUUGCUUCUUGGAGAGACACGAUUUUGUUUCCAGAGGCACGAUCUUCGCGAGCCGUGCCUCUCGGAAAGAAAAUAAACUCGUUUUUUUUUUUUUAUGAGAAGCACGGUUUUGUUUUCGCGAGAGAUAAGGUUUUGCCUUCGUGAGAGAGUUAUUUUUUCUGUCAGAGGCACGAUUUUGCUUACGUGAGAGGCACAGUUUUGUCUUAAUAAGAGGCACUGUGCCUCUUUGAAAAUUCAAAACGAAAAAGUAUGUUUUCUGUUUUUUUAAUAGGGAGAGGCACGAUUUGUUUGGUCCGUUUUUUUCGUGAAAAAAAAUCUUCAAAACAUAUCAAUAUGGGAUCUAGUUUUGAAGAUCUCGACGCGAGAAAUCCAACGGUGAAAACGAUUCGAGAUUUGGACGCACGGUUUAGAAGAUAAAACGUUUUGAAAAUACGAAUCUACGAAAAAAGGAAAACUCCCCGGUUGCUACAAGUGACAUGCAUGGAGUGUGUCAUUUGUCGCAACCUGGAAGAUGGGAGUGAUCUUUGAAAGAAGCACUCCCUAAUUAGUGAGUUCGGGGAAUCUGUUGAGUUCCUUAGACGCCCGAUCCUCAGAUUUCAAGGGGCGGGGCGAAAAUUAUAACACGGUCCCUCAAGACCAGUGCCCCUCCGAAGGACCAUCUUCCCACAAAGAGUAGACCGAGGGGAACCCCUCGCAUCUACAAUUGGAUCCCUUAAGCCCCCUCAAAAUUCACACACGCGUCACAAACCGGCCUCAAAGGCUCAGGCUCAACGGUACUCCCAAUUUCCAGCCCAAAUAUGGGGCGAAAAUGUAGGAGCCGGGGCGUGCCCGGGCACGCCCGCCACGUCGGCCUGGCGGCUUGGACCCACACGGACUUACCGGGAAACUCGACGGUUCGACACGCGCCUCGACCGUUGGCACGGUGUUAAAGCCACGUGACGCCGCUUCGGGGCCGGGGCCGGCUAUUUAAGCCGACCUGCUCCCCUGGCCCUAACACAUCCGCCUCCUUCCUCUCUCCGCCGCCACCCGAGAACUUUCCUCUUUGAGCCUGUCACCCAUGCCACCACGUCGGCGGCAUUACACGAUCCAGUAUCGUCUCUUCCUUCUUCCGCAGGUCCGAAUCUGAAGGGAUGAAGGGCUACCCAUGGAACUGAAGGUGGAUUUCGGGGAGGGGGAGGAGCCACACGCGCCGGAGGAGGAGGCACCGUCGUAGCAGUCGAAGGAAGAGCGGUCGACGGUGGUCGAUCUGUGGCCGGAGCAGCCAGCCAUCCUCAACUCCAUCCGCUUCCAGUCGGUUGCACUCGCCAGAAGUCUGGUGGAGGAAGCGCGGGCGGCUCACGAGGAGGCAGAUGCGGCAGAGGAGGCGACGCAUGCGGCUCACGCUCCCACGCAGGCCAUCUCCAACGAGGAAAAAGAUCAAUAGUAGUACCUAGGAUAUUCUGCAUGCUUUGUAUGGAUAUGAGGGAUGAAAUAUGAGAAUGUGAAGAAUGAAAUUUGAGACGUGAUCCAUCAGUAUCCGCUAACACGUCCGGACGUGUCCGCGGGCGUUUGAAGGGCCGGAUUUGCAAAGUCCGGAUGUAGAUGCUCUUAGACGAUUAUCGAUGCCGAUGCAUGUCAUGCAUUUUGGGUAAUAAUUUGGAAUAUAUUUUUUAAAAGUCGUAAAACUGUUCAACAUAUUUUAAAAAUGUUCCAACAAAUAUUUCAAAAAUAACUAAUGUGCAAAAAAAGAGCAAAACAUGUAACCCUACACUUUUUCUAUCAAACAUAUGUAUUAAUGUAUAUGUUUUUAAUAUAUAUUGCACAUUUUUAUGAUAUAUGUAAAAUAUUUGUAUAAAUGUUUAAUUUUAUUUUAAAUUAUAGGAACAAUUUGGUCUCUUAUAAACAUAAAAACAUCCUUGAAUAUAUUUUGAAUGCAUAACAAUGUUUAAGUUUUAGACAUUAUUUUAAAAUUAUGCUUUCCAAAAUUUUUUACACCACAUUAAUAGUUUUGAAACUAUUAUUUUCAAACAUUUACGACUGAAAAGUGAACAUAAGUGACUAACCUGAAAGUCUGGUCAACCCUGUAUUUGCAACUCGAAAUAUAGGUUGCGGUUGUACAUUAUGUCACGCUCUAAGCGAGACAUAGUCCAAUAUCACCAGUUAAGGGCCACCCCUUGCAAAGUCACUUCCCACUUUCUUACAAGUUGAAAAUGAACACAUGGUAUACGCAUCAUUAGUCACAACCUAAGAUUUUUUAUAAAUUUAUUUAUUUAAAAUGUUUUAUCUCUUGAAUCGUGCAUCCAAAUAUUGUAUCGUUUUCACUAUUUGACUUCUCCUGUUUAGAUCUUUGAAACUAGGACGGGCCCUUUUGUUUGAGCUUAAGUAUGCUUCCGCUUUUCAGUUCUUCCACUUUGGCCUAAAAGCUAAAACUAACUCCUAAAUAUGGGCUUUUAUCUUCGGCUUUCGGCAUAUACCAUCAAAUAAUAAUAUUCAUUCAUAAGCCAAAAGACAAUAAGCCUAAAAACGAAGACAAAAGCCCUAUUUAGGAGCUUUUUUGACUUUUAGGUUUAUGGUUUCAGUUUUUUGGCUUAUGGCCUUUUGGCUUGACUUUUGGCUUAUGAAUCAAAAUUGUUAAUAGGCGUCGAUGAAAAAUGUCCACACAAAAAAUUAGCGAAAACAGAAACAUAAUCCAAUAAGAAGGAAACCCUGAGAAAAAAAGGACAACCGGAAAAAAUGAAUGCCCAAACAAGGAAGGAUAAAACUGGAGCUUGGAAAGUUGGCUGCGAUUUUCACUUUUUGGGGGUGUGAACAAGGUUGUGCUUUUCUUUUUAUCGAGGAAGCACAUGUUGUGUUUCCGCAAGCAUGUGCUUCUUUUUAUCGAGAGCGUCCAAAGAAGCAACAGUUUUUUUUUAUAUAUGGAUCAAAGAAGUAACAGUUGGUUACUUGCUCCCUAGAUAGUGACACCUGAGGCGGAUAGUUUUUUUUUAUUUUUGAGCAAACCUGAGGCGGAUGGCUCAUGCGCAAUUCUCUAUUUUCUACCGCUCACAGCCCACGAGCCUUUGAUGGGCCAGAUGUGCUGGUAGCUCUCGUAGGUAACCAAGCCAUAUCGUCCAAGAACGCGGUCCACGAGAUGAGAAGCGCGCAGUGGAUUCCAAAACCCUGACAAGAAGGAGCCGGGCGACGUCCGUCCCUAUCCAAAACGAAGACGGUCCGUAUGACCAUCAGCAGCAGCAGCAGCAGCAGCAAGAAGACGGGUAGUAGUACUAGCUGAGUAGGAGCAGGGAGAGGCUCGAGUAGCUAUAGCCCGUGCCCGUCGUGGUGCUGCCUGCUGUUACUGCCAUCGCAGUAAGUAGUAUCAUCGUGGCAGCGGCGACAGGCUGACGGCGACAGCCAAAGCACGGACGGCAAGCAAGAGCAGGAAGCAGAUGAUGGCCAAAAGAUAGCAACAGCGUGAUACGUGCUCCUCCUAGGACUUGACAGUAUACGUCUCCUACUGCUUUGUACGUACUGCUUACUACACAGGUGCUC
rnacentral:lncRNA from 1 species